UACGUAGGUGGCAAGCGUUAUCCGGAAUUAUUGGGCGUAAAGAGCGCGCAGGUGGUUGAUUAAGUCUGAUGUGAAAGCCCACGGCUUAACCGUGGAGGGUCAUUGGAAACUGGUCGACUUGAGUGCAGAAGAGGGAAGUGGAAUUCCAUGUGUAGCGGUGAAAUGCGUAGAUAUAUGGAGGAACACCAGUGGCGAAGGCGACUUUCUGGUCUGUAACUGACGCUGAGGCUCGAAAGCAUGGGGAGGCAAACAGGAUUAGAUA
rnacentral:rRNA from 1 species